rnacentral:rRNA from 1 species
UACGUAGGUGGCGAGCGUUGUCCGGAUUUACUGGGCGUAAAGGGCUCGUAGGCGGCCAACUAAGUCGGAUGUGAAAUCCCCAGGCUCAACCUGGGAACUGCAUCCGAUACUGGAUGGCUUGAAUUCGGGAGAGGGAUGCAGAAUUCCAGGUGUAGCGGUGAAAUGCGUAGAUAUCUGGAGGAAUACCGGUGGCGAAGGCGGCAUCCUGGACCGACAUUGACGCUGAGGAGCGAAAGCCAGGGGAGCAAACGGG